rnacentral:rRNA from 1 species
AACGAACGCUGGCGGCAUGCCUAACACAUGCAAGUCGAACGAGACCUUCGGGUCUAGUGGCGCACGGGUGCGUAACGCGUGGGAACCUGCCCUUAGGUUCGGAAUAACUCCCCGAAAGGGGUGCUAAUACCGGAUAAUGUCUUCGGACCAAAGAUUUAUCGCCUUUGGAUGGGCCCGCGUUGGAUUAGCUAGUUGGUAGGGUAAAAGCCUACCAAGGCGACGAUCCAUAGCUGGUCUGAGAGGAUGAUCAGCCACACUGGGACUGAGACACGGCCCAGACUCCUGCGGGAGGGAGCAGUGGGGAAUAUUGGACAAUGGGCGAGAGCCUGAUCCAGCAAGGCCGCGUGAGUGAUGAAGGCCUUAGGGUUGUAAAGCUCUUUUACCCGGGAUGAUAAUGACAGUACCGGAAGAAUAAGCUCCGGCUAACUCCGUG